CACGUAGGGCGCAAGCGUUGUCCGGAAUUAUUGGGCGUAAAGAGCUCGUAGGCGGUCUGUUGCGUCCGCUGUGAAAACUCGGGGCUUAACCCCGAGCCUGCAGUGGAUACGGGCAGACUAGAGGUAGGUAGGGGAGAAUGGAAUUCCCGGUGUAGCGGUGAAAUGCGCAGAUAUCGGGAGGAACACCGGUGGCGAAGGCGGUUCUCUGGGCAGUAACUGACGCUGAGGAGCGAAAGCGUGGGUAGCAAACAGG
rnacentral:rRNA from 1 species